GUCCUGCCUGGCUAAAGCGUGUUUUGGUCGAAUAUUAAGGGAACAGCAAUUGACUUUAAAGCCUGGAGUCAGUUUGGCUUCCUCACUUUAGAGGAGCCAGCUACCACAGCUGCAGGAUCUCCCAGGUGCCCUCCAGGUGCCAGGACAAAGCAGGGAGCUAAGUCGCCUCAGCUGUUACUCAGAUGGCCCUCAUGUAUUGCUGCCACUGAAGUGGUAAAGCUGAUGGUCUUGUCAACAAGGCAGCUGUCAGGACCAGGACAAAAUAAUUCCUCUUUCCAAUGGCAUGGUCUCUGCAUGCAGCAUUAACUGGUGAUGUUAAAACAGAUUUGUCAGCAAACUAUCACAUCAUUUAACCUGAAGAUAACACACUAGAACUCCUUUUGUCCUGAAUGAGCUGCAUUAUGAGAUGAAUCAACUUGUAUUCCACUGAGUACACAAAGCACAGGUAAGAGUAAAUAAAGUGCAAUUCAGUCUUUAAAGGUUGUGUCUUGAAGAAAAACUGUGAUAUGA
rnacentral:lncRNA from 12 species